AGAAGCAACAAUCAGGCUUUAUCAGGGAUUCAGCAGGCUGGAAGGUUGCAGUCUGGAAACAGCGUUGUCUUUAUAUCCCAGGCCUCCUGAGGAGACAGAGGAUAUUCUGAACAGUUGACUCCUGAGUAAGCAUGCUUGAAUCAUCGGAGAAGUCAGUGCCAGCUGUUCAUGGGCUCCCUGAAAAUCUUGAGAGUAUAACUCACCGUCCAGGACAUUUUAGUCUCCUCAUAGCCGUGGAGGAGGAAGAGUUGGAGAAAAACGCUUCCGGUUCCAAGUGGGCCCAGAAGUGGCCCCGUCACUUCCUGCUGCUGCGUGUUGGUGGGAAAUAAAUUCCUCCACCUCAUUCAGUGCUCUCUCACAAAGGGGAGAUGCAGACUCUGGCGCGUCUUGGUGGCGUCUGUCAUAAUGUGGUUCCUCACUCGCUGCUAGUUCUGUCCGUCCAUCUCCUCUGCUUACACAGGUGGAAAUGUGUGGCAUUGCCUCCAUAGAUGGAUGUAAUUAAAGAAACAGUACAUUAAUACUGUUUCCCUGAUGGAUGUAGACACCUGUGCUCCUACCUUGAAUGCCUUUCAAAGCAUUGAAGGCAUGAACUUGGGGGCAGCUCUGAGGCAUGUUUGCCAGGCCUGAGCAGGGACACCAGUGGUGGAAGCCUCAGAGCUUCUGAGUGCUGCCCGAUCUUCCUUGAGUAAGGCCACGCUCUCACCCUUUGCCUGGGAACCAGCCGACUUCACAGCUUACUGAGAGGGGCAUGUCCCAGUUUAGGGGCCCCCCUGACAUCCUAAAGAGGAGCGGAGAAGAAAUUAUUAGAGAAAGGGACGUGUUAGGACGACGCACGUGCCAAACCCAUCCUGAGUGGGCCAGCCGGGAGACACCGUUGGGAGCUGGGUGAAACUGAAGGCCGUGGGCCAAUCUGAGACCAAACCAGGAAGAUUUUGUUACCUCCUUCAUAAGGUUUGGGGGCCUCUUCUGGGUUCCCCAUCCUCAUCCUGACCAAAUUUUGUGGGAGUAGCCUCCCUGUGUGAUGAUCUUUCCAGCCCAGCAGUGGGAGAGGGGACAAUCUGGUCGCCCUGCGCCUGCUGUGUCUGCGGUUGUGAACCAGCAGUGGAAGGGAGCAGAGGCAAGGUGGGAAGAGAGCCUCCUAAGAGGGCUCUCCCAGGCUGGGAGGGGCGGCGUCAACACUGCCUGCACCAUGCAGACACUGGCACUGGUUCCCACAGCUCCCAGGUGACUGUCGCUUCCUGCUUCCAAGACCAGGCUCCCCCUGCUCUGAAACAGGGGGGCUGCUUCUCAGUGCAGUCGCGAGCUUCAGAAACGUGGUCUUUGGUAAAAGCCUCUAAAACCACAUCCGUGGCUUUGGCCCGUGGGUGAGGAAGCCCUGCCUGUUCGCCAUCCUCUCGCUUUGCUGCGUCUUCUGUUGGUGUGCAGUGUGGUGCGCAUGCAGAGUGGGGGCUGCUCAGAGGGCCGGCCCUGGAGGCUCCAGAUGAGGGGAGCCCAUCGGUCAGGCAUCUACACCAGACGCUCCCUUGGGUGACCCCUGGUCCUGCCUCUGUUCCACAGCUGAGACCUGAGGGUCAGAGCAGGACAUGGCCGGCCCGAGGCCACACGACCCCCAGUCGCUGCCCGGGCAAUCCUGGGCACCCAGGCCAUGCUGUUCAUGCAGGGAGCUUGGUCCACGGCUGCCCCUCUUCCUGGUCCAGUGGACACUCGGGAGGAGGCUGGUGAAGUGUGAGUUACUUGGCUGUUGCACCAGGCAGAGUUUAUGAACACCUUAAAAAGCAGACAGGUGACUCUUGCUUUCUCUGCACAUCUUUGGAAAAUCAAAGGUCUUUGUGUGUAUUUUCUUGGAAUUACAUUUAUUGAAUUAGUCUGUGUGCUGCUUUCUUAGUCAUACAACAACCAUCUUAAACUGCUUCUCUUUUAGCCAGAAAUAUUUCUUCCGUGGUGCAUUAGAACGUGAAAUAGGAAGUUUAGGAAAAGAACUUUAUACUAAGUUCGGUAAACACUGAAAAUCUGUGAAUGAGCACAUGGCUUCCAGUGCUUCCCUCCAGGGCUCAGUCAGGUGUGGUCUGCCUCCUCGUCGCUGUAGUCAGUGGUGCCAUCUCGAUUCCUAAGGGUAGGUGCCGAGCUCUGUGGACCGUGUGCACUCAGAACCCAGACCUGCUGGGGUCCUGGCCUGGCAAGUCGUAUUCCUGGGGGCCUUGCCAUAGGAGCAGUGGCUGAAAGCUACUUAAGGCCACUCGUGUUUCUUUCGUUUGUGUUUAUUUGUGUGCAUAUCUUUCACUUAUCAGGAAUGUUUCCAUUCUACUCACUGUAGCAUUUCAGAGAUUAAGCAGGUAUUUUUGGGUAAAUGUGUAGAACUCUGGAGUUGAAGGAAGAAGGAAGAAUCCUGAGCAGACCCACUGUCAUUAGCACCCGUAAGAUCAUAUGAGAGCAGCGCCAGCCCUUGGGGUGAAGUCUGCAGAUCUCCAGGGGAGGGCUGAGUGUGCUCUGUGCCACCUCCCUCCAGGCUCCAGCCUGUGGGCCACCGCGUGUGCCCUGUGCAGUGCCUGGAUGUCAGCUGGGCAUCUUCACCCGCUCCUCCUCACUCCUCAGCCUCCACCCACAUUUCUCAUGGGGGCCAGGUAAGAGUGCCCUCGGAGGUGCCAGUGGGAGAUGCCGGGCGCGGCCUGCAUGAGGGAGAGGAGGCGAAGCUGCUGUGGGUGGACAAGAGGGUGGAGGUGCUCACCCGGCUGCAGGGCAUAAAUGCCAGCUCUGCGUGGCACCCUGCCCUGGGGCCUCUGCAUCCUCUGCCCCAGAAGCCCCUCCGUCUGCUUCCCUUGGCCAGCACCGUUGCUGCUUGGGCUCCUGAGCACACCCCAGGACGCUGUGUGGGGUGUGAUGACCCAGGUGCAGACACAGCCUGUGCAGAGUGCCGACCACGCGGCUCCCCUGGGCUGUGCCGCCCUCGCCCCUUGGCAGUCUCCCCUGAGUUCCCAGUGCUGUUCUCUUGUCGUUUCCAUGGUCCGGCCCAGCUAGUCUCUGAAACCCACACGUUUCUUUGCGAUCCUGCCAUCCCUGUACCAGCUCUGCUGAUGGCACCAUUCUCAGCACUGCAGCGGCAGUGACCUCCAGGAGGCCUUGGGUCACCUCCCACAUGCCAAGGGGACCUUUUAGCAGAGCUGCUGGAGUCCUCAGGGGUUGGC
ensembl:lncRNA